UACGUAGGGUGCAAGCGUUAAUCGGAAUUACUGGGCGUAAAGCGUGCGCAGGCGGUUCGGCAAGAACGGUGUGAAAUCCCAGGGCUUAACCUUGGAAUGGCACUUUUAACUGCCGGGCUAGAGUAUGUCAGAGGGGGGUAGAAUUCCACGUGUAGCAGUGAAAUGCGUAGAGAUGUGGAGGAACACCGAUGGCGAAGGCAGCCCCCUGGGCCAAAACUGACGCUCAGGCACGAAAGUGUGGGGAGCAAACAGG
rnacentral:rRNA from 1 species